AUACUAUACUGUAAUAUAACAAUAUGUAUGCAAAAUACGAACUACACUGAUAUAACGUAUUAAUAAUAUGUUUCGCGUAAAAAACGUCAACGUUAUAGGUAUUUUAAUAAUGUGCGACAUUAUGAUAUUAUUAUGAAUGUCACGGGUAUGAAAUUACCAUCUAUAUUAGAUCCGACGGGGUUAGAUUAUUAUGAUUAUUAUUAUUAUACUAUCGUCUCGCAUACCCCUCGUACGAUCCUUUAAGAUCCCCUAGAGGUUAUCAUUCCACUUUGAGAUUAUCCUGUCGUUUUGGCACGGCGAACUCUUUCGGGGUCGAGUGUCUGGGAGUUUUAAAUAUUUGUACGGAUAUACGACGAUGAAAUGUUAUUUAUUUUUUUCUAACGGACAUACGAAAACCAUUUAUUGUAUUUUACGCGAAA